UCUCUCUCCUCUUACACUUUACCUUCGCAUUUCUCAGGCCGCCUUCUAGGGUUUCUCCGCCGUGCAUUGCUGCGAGCGCCUUGUGCUCGAUCUCGAUUUGAGAUUCUAAGAUCGUUUAUUUUUUCAUAAAAAAAUCGGCUGGAGGCACUUGACUUUACAUGGCGUGACAAAGAAGAAGUUGUUUUAGAGUCUCCUGCAGGGCAAAUUACUGAUUCUUAUGUUUGAUUGCGUACAAUAAAUGCUUCACAGUGAGGAUGAAAAGUUUCCAGGACUCAUGCUCUUAAUGGGCUACACCUGCAACUGCACUGAUAAGGAAACUCUAAAGAGGUGGUUCUUCAUUGACAAAAGGGUUGGUUAGUGGAUAAUUCAAAAUUACAUCAAAGAGAACGGAAGGUGCAGUUUGUUUAUAUUUGGAACUUCUAAAUCAGCCAGAAUGCGAGCAACCACUUUUCAAACUUUUCAGUAUUUAAGCUGGUUUCCAUAGAUUUAAAGCAGAG